rnacentral:rRNA from 1 species
AUUGAACGCUGGCGGCAGGCCUAACACAUGCAAGUCGAGCGGAUGAAGGGAGCUUGCUCCUGGAUUCAGCGGCGGACGGGUGAGUAAUGCCUAGGAAUCUGCCUGGUAGUGGGGGAUAACGUCCGGAAACGGGCGCUAAUACCGCAUACGUCCUGAGGGAGAAAGUGGGGGAUCUUCGGACCUCACGCUAUCACAUGAGCCUAGGUCGGAUUAGCUAGUUGGUGGGGUAAAGGCCUACCAAGGCGACGAUCCGUAACUGGUCUGAGAGGAUGAUCAGUCACACUGGAACUGAGACACGGUCCAGACUCAUACGGGAGGCAGCAGUGGGGAAUAUUGGACAAUGGGCGAAAGCCUGAUCCAGCCAUGCCGCGUGUGUGAAGAAGGUCUUCGGAUUGUAAAGCACUUUAAGUUGGGAGGAAGGGCAGUAAGUUAAUACCUGGCUGUUUUGACGUUACCAACAGAAUAAGCACCGGCUAACUUCGU